rnacentral:rRNA from 1 species
GAGUUUGAUCGUGGCUCAGAGUGAACGCUGGCGGUAGGCCUAACACAUGCAAGUCGAACGGCAGCACAGGAGAGCUUGCUCUCUGGGUGGCGAGUGGCGGACGGGUGAGGAAUACAUCGGAAUCUACCUUUUCGUGGGGGAUAACGUAGGGAAACUUACGCUAAUACCGCAUACGACCUACGGGUGAAAGUGGGGGACCGCAAGGCCUCACGCGAUUAGAUGAGCCGAUGUCCGAUUAGCUAGUUGGUGGGGUAAAGGCCUACCAAGGCGACGAUCGGUAGCGGGUCUGAGAGGAUGAUCCGCCACACUGGGACUGAGACACGGCCCAGACUCCUACGGGAGGCAGCAGUGGGGAAUUUUGGACAAUGGGGGCAACCCUGAUCCAGCCAUGCCGCGUGCGGGAAGAAGGCCUCGGUUGUAA